rnacentral:rRNA from 1 species
GACGAACGCUGGCGGCGUGCUUAACACAUGCAAGUCGAACGGAAAGGCCCUGCUUUUGUGGGGUGCUCGAGUGGCGAACGGGUGAGUAACACGUGAGUAACCUGCCCUUGACUUUGGGAUAACUUCAGGAAACUGGGGCUCAUACCGGAUAGGAGCUCCUGCUGCAUGGUGGGGGUUGGAAAGUUUCGGCGGUUGGGGAUGGACUCGCGGCUUAUCAGCUUGUUGGUGGGGUAGUGGCUUACCAAGGCUUUGACGGGUAGCCGGCCUGAGAGGGUGACCGGCCACAUUGGGACGGAGAUACGGCCCAGACUCCUACGGGAGGCAACAGUGGGGAAUAGUGCACAAUGGGCGGAGGCCUGAUGCAGCAAAGCCGCGUGCGGGAUGACGGCCUUCGGUUUGGAAACCGCUUUCGCCUGUGACGAAGCGUGAGUGACGGUAAUGGGUAAAGAAGCACCGGCUAACUACGUG